rnacentral:rRNA from 1 species
ACGAAGGGGGCUAGCGUUGCUCGGAAUCACUGGGCGUAAAGGGCGCGUAGGCGGCGUUUUAAGUCGGGGGUGAAAGCCUGUGGCUCAACCACAGAAUGGCCUUCGAUACUGGGACGCUAGAGAAUGGUAUAGGUUGGUGGAACUGCGAGUGUAGGGGUGAAAGUCGUAGAUAUUCGCAGGAACACCGGUGGCGAAGGCGGCCAACCUGACCGUCACUGACACUGAGGCGCGAAAGCGUGGGGAGCAAACAG